GCAGCGUUUCACUGGCUCAUCUAUAGGUUCCCAUCUCUGUUCAGUUGUACAAACAUAAUGGAACCAAUCAGAAUUUAUAUCCUCGAUACCCUGAAAAAAGACAGUGACGACACCAGCAGCAGCAGCCAGGUUUUGUACACCAUCCAACAGGAAUGUGUUCCAUUCAGUGAGCUGGGAAAUGAGCUCUUACAGCACACAGCACACUGCGAGCCCCCUGCCAGCUGGCUGCUGGAUCUGCACGGGUUGUGGAGCACAGCAUUUUCCUCUGCAUUUGGCACAGCUUUGCAAGCAUUUGAUGAUUAAAAAAUAAUUAGAGCGCCA